rnacentral:rRNA from 1 species
UACGUAGGGGGCAAGCGUUGUCCGGAUUUAUUGGGCGUAAAGAGCGCGUAGGCGGCUUUACAGGUCCGUUGUGAAAACUCGAGGCUCAACCUCGAGACGCCGGUGGAAACCGUAAAGCUAGAGUCCGGAAGAGGAGAGUGGAAUUCCUGGUGUAGCGGUGAAAUGCGCAGAUAUCAGGAGGAACACCCGUGGCGAAAGCGGCUCUCUGGAACGGUACUGACGCUGAGACGCGAAAGCGUGGGGAGCGAACAGG